ACGAACGCUGGCGGCGUGCCUAAUACAUGCAAGUAGAACGCUGAAGAGAGGAGCUUGCUCUUCUUGGAUGAGUUGCGAACGGGUGAGUAACGCGUAGGUAACCUGCCUUGUAGCGGGGGAUAACUAUUGGAAACGAUAGCUAAUACCGCAUAACAAUGGAUGACACAUGUCAUUUAUUUGAAAGGGGCAAUUGCUCCACUACAAGAUGGACCUGCGUUGUAUUAGCUAGUAGGUGAGGUAAUGGCUCACCUAGGCGACGAUACAUAGCCGACCUGAGAGGGUGAUCGGCCACACUGGGACUGAGACACGGCCCAGACUCCUACGGGAGGCAGCAGUAGGGAAUCUUCGGCAAUGGGGGCAACCCUGACCGAGCAACGCCGCGUGAGUGAAGAAGGUUUUCGGAUCGUAAAGCUCUGUUGUAAGUCAAGAACGGGUGUGAGAGUGGAAAGUUCACACUGUGACGGUAGCUUACCAGAAAGGGACGGCUAACUACGUGCCAGCAGCCGCGGUAAUACGUAGGUCCCGAGCGUUGUCCGGAUUUAUUGGGCGUAAAGCGAGCGCAGGCGGUUUGAUAAGUCUGAAGUUAAAGGCUGUGGCUCAACCAUAGUUCGCUUUGGAAACUGUCAAACUUGAGUGCAGAAGGGGAGAGUGGAAUUCCAUGUGUAGCGGUGAAAUGCGUAGAUAUAUGGAGGAACACCGGUGGCGAAAGCGGCUCUCUGGUCUGUAACUGACGCUGAGGCUCGAAAGCGUGGGGAGCGAACAGGAUUAGAUACCCUGGUAGUCCACGCCGUAAACGAUGAGUGCUAGGUGUUGGAUCCUUUCCGGGAUUCAGUGCCGCAGCUAACGCAUUAAGCACUCCGCCUGGGGAGUACGACCGCAAGGUUGAAACUCAAAGGAAUUGACGGGGGCCCGCACAAGCGGUGGAGCAUGUGGUUUAAUUCGAAGCAACGCGAAGAACCUUACCAGGUCUUGACAUCCCGAUGCUAUUUCUAGAGAUAGAAAGUUACUUCGGUACAUCGGUGACAGGUGGUGCAUGGUUGUCGUCAGCUCGUGUCGUGAGAUGUUGGGUUAAGUCCCGCAACGAGCGCAACCCUUAUUGCCAGUUACUACGAAAGAGGACUCUGGCGAGACUGCCGUUGACAAAACGGAGGAAGGUGGGGAUGACGUCAAAUCAUCAUGCCCCUUAUGACCUGGGCUACACACGUGCUACAAUGGUUGGUACAACGAGUUGCGAGUCGGUGACGGCGAGCUAAUCUCUUAAAGCCAAUCUCAGUUCGGAUUGUAGGCUGCAACUCGCCUACAUGAAGUCGGAAUCGCUAGUAAUCGCGGAUCAGCACGCCGCGGUGAAUACGUUCCCGGGCCUUGUACACACCGCCCGUCACACCACGAGAGUUUGUAACACCCGAAGUCGGUGAGGUAACCUUUUGGAGCCAGCCGCCUAAGGUGGGACAGAUGAUUGGGGUG
rnacentral:rRNA from 1 species